AUGUGCAUCAUUAUAGACGUCGGUUCUCCUUGUGACCGACGUCUAGUGGGAUUCAAAAGGUCAGUUGAAAAGUUAACUUGGACGUCGAAUUAGUAACAGAACUGACGUCUAUAGUCAUAUAGACGUCGACUAUCUAGAGAACCCGACGCCCAGUUUCAUUUUAAAAAGAUCGCAAACUCUUUGCGGCAUUCAGUUUCUGAUAUCUUCCUCUUCCUCUUCUCCUUUUUCUCUCGCGGCACUCUUCUUUUUCUCCCUUUCGGCAUGUCUUCUUUUUGUUGCGACAUUCUAUUGUUGUUUCUGAUAUCUUUGUCGUCUUCCUCCUCUCUUUUUCUCUCUUGCGACAUUGCAUCCCAAGUGUGUGGUUUUUUUUUUAUGCUUACCGUUUGUUUAGUCUUUCAUCGAUUAUCUUCUGGUUCAACUGAUUAAAAUUUGCUUUCUUUGUGUUGUGUUUUAGUGCAGUUUUGUUCCUUUCUUGGGAUAACGUAGUAACACAUUCUCCCUUUGCUAGCUGCCUCCCGGAAAUAGCGGCGUCUUUUGAAUUUCUUUUGAUCGUUUCAACCCAAAAACGACCCUGGGUAGUUGUCUAGUUUUCGUUUCACCGUGAUUUUUUCCUCUUGCGGAUGAAAAAUGAAACUAAGCAACCACCCAGGUUCGGUUUUGGGUUGAAGGGACCAUAAGAAAUUCAAAGGACACAAGCUUUUUUUGAGAGGAAACUAGCAAAAGGAGAUUGUGCUACUAGGCUAUCCAAAGACGGGAACAAAACUGCACUAAAACACAACCACUGUAUUAGACGUCGGUUAAUGCAAAAACCAACGUCUAUAGUGACUUUAGACGUCGGUCUUUGUCAUGUUCGACGUCUAUAUGU
rnacentral:lncRNA from 1 species